UCGGUCUUUCUGAGGCUUUUGUAGACACACACUCGUCAUCAAUAUCAAAAGUCGAGUUGUUGAUUAUGAAACAGAAGUACACGCGUGAAGCCUGCUUACACACGGCAAAGGAAAGCCCAACACAUUGUGCAGAGAAUCUUGAGAGUCUGUCCCGUUUGUAAACCUGGAAAGUGUGAUUGAUCUUCUGUACGGAGCAUGGCUUCUUCUAGCAUUUUGCGAUCAUCGAACAUGUCACUAGAUUGCAAUUUCAUUAGAAGGGACUCUCACCGUUUUAGAAAAUUCCGAUUCCCAUUGGCUUGAAUGAUGAACAUCUUGCUCUGAUGACAUUUCUUUUCAUAAUAAAGAAGAUUUUUAGCAUAUCGACCGGAUUUCGCAUUUGCGAUGACUAAAUGGCUUUGACCUUGGCGAAGGCUGCACCCAGCUGAGAGAACUCUGACAAGCUGGUCGAGGUUAGUGCAGCCCGGGCUGGUUUCAUGCUAAGGCAUGAGAUCUCACCAUUGGAAAUUUUGGGACUCUGGUCAGCAGUUUAAAUUUGGUGAACAGAUGGUCUCAAUUUGAACGCAGUUGGAAGGUUCUUGGAAAAUUUAAGAAUGUCCAUGUCUGGAAAGAAACAUUUAUGGGAAUAGAAGUCUUCAGUACAAACUUGGUUGGUUUCAUAUAUUAAAGACUCUACCAGUCACAUCCCACGCGGGACACUUGUGACAUUUUUGUUUGGUUUUGUUGUU